UUUUUUUUUGUGUUAUUCAAAACGGCUGCCGCAUCAAAACAUAUUAAUACUUAUUCGGUGUCCAGUUCCUCCCUUCGCAAGGGCAAGUAAACCUCCCUACGUAAGUUACUCCAAACCCUCACCGGCACUUCCAGUCUGAUUUCCGGUCUGAUAUUCAUCGUUGAAGGCUGGUAUUUUAGCUAGUAUGGCACUCCAUUCAUCGUUAAGACUCUUGCUCCGGAACAAGUUUCCCAUCACUUGCCUGGAAUGGUGGUGGGAAAGGCUCAUCGGAAUAUUUUACUAAAUUAAACCGACCAGACCACAUAAAACAUACCGGAGCGUAAAGAUUGAAGCUAUGCAUUAAACUGGCUGCGAAGUGCCGUUUCCAUUGGGAGUCAAGGGACCGUCUACCUUUUACGACAUCUGUUACAGCAGCAGCACCGGAUAUUCUUCAUUAGUUAAGGUGAUGUAGGCGAUGCAGGUGAAAGUGUGAGGUAACACCAGUAAGACCGCCGAUACAACGCGAACGAUAUUCGGUGGUUCGAUUCAAGACUACCAAAUGCAAUCGCUACGGUAUACCGGCACAAGGACAACGGAACGGAUUGCAAUGCAGGAUGUUACUUUUAAAGGAGAAACGUGGCUGCCCGGUAGAAGAAUGCACUUUCA